rnacentral:rRNA from 1 species
GCUUCUUUGCUGACGAGCGGCGGACGGGUGAGUAAUGCUUGGGAACAUGCCUUGAGGUGGGGGACAACAGUUGGAAACGACUGCUAAUACCGCAUAAUGUCUACGGACCAAAGGGGGCUUCGGCUCUCGCCUUUAGAUUGGCCCAAGUGGGAUUAGCUAGUUGGUGAGGUAAUGGCUCACCAAGGCGACGAUCCCUAGCUGGUUUGAGAGGAUGAUCAGCCACACUGGGACUGAGACACGGCCCAGACUCCUACGGGAGGCAGCAGUGGGGAAUAUUGCACAAUGGGCGCAAGCCUGAUGCAGCCAUGCCGCGUGUGUGAAGAAGGCCUUCGGGUUGUAAAGCACUUUCAGUCAGGAGGAAAGCGUGGUGGUUAAUACCCAUCAUGUGUGACGUUACUGACAGAAGAAGCACCGGCUAACUCCGUGCCAGCAGCCGCGGUAAUACGGAGGGUGCGAGCGUUAAUCGGAAUUACUGGGCGUAAAGCGUACGCAGGCGGUUUGUUAAGCGAGAUGUGAAAGCCCCGGGCUCAACCUGGGAACUGCAUUUCGAACUGGCAAACUAGAGUGUGAUAGAGGGUGGUAGAAUUUCAGGUGUAGCGGUGAAAUGCGUAGAGAUCUGAAGGAAUACCGAUGGCGAAGGCAGCCACCUGGGUCAACACUGACGCUCAUGUACGAAAGCGUGGGGAGCAAACGGGAUUAGAUACCCCGGUAGUCCACGCCGUAAACGAUGUCUACUAGAAGCUCGGAGCCUCGGUUCUGUUUUUCAAAGCUAACGCAUUAAGUAGACCGCCUGGGGAGUACGGCCGCAAGGUUAAAACUCAAAUGAAUUGACGGGGGCCCGCACAAGCGGUGGAGCAUGUGGUUUAAUUCGAUGCAACGCGAAGAACCUUACCUACACUUGACAUACAGAGAACUUACCAGAGAUGGUUUGGUGCCUUCGGGAACUCUGAUACAGGUGCUGCAUGG